CACAAGGUAUCUGAAUGGGGUUGUUAACCCAAUAGUACUGAUAAAUGGCGCUAUAAUGCCUGGAGGUAACAUUGUGCUAUAGUACAUAAAACAUAUUAUUAUUAUAUUCGGGAAUGUACUACAGCAGCCUGUGAUUGUCGUCUUGAUUCAGACAUUCCCCCCCAAGUCUGUCUGUAAUUAACUGUGGAAAGCAACUUUCAGCCAGUGGUGUCUACUUACAGACAGAUGUCCACCAGCUGAUCCAGUUCUGGGCAGCUGCACUCGUACAUGUCUCUGCAGCUCACAUGGCUUUGGUUCAUCAGUUCUCCCAGCAGCUGGACUGCUUUGGCAGGUGUCUGGUCACAAAUAUCUUUAAACUCAAGUACUCUUGCAGCUUCACUGUACACAUGUUUUGCACGCUGGUAGAGUUUAAAGGUGGUAACUAGAAUAAAAAUGAAACUGUUACUACAACA